GGGGAGAGGUCGGAUCCUGGGCUGUGUCCCCCUGGCGCCCUGUGCUCCCGGGCCUGGGCUGUUGGAUUCGGCUCCCGGCCAAGCAGCCCCCU
rnacentral:pre_miRNA from 1 species